GUGCUUGCUUCAGCAGCAUGUACAGUAGAAUUAGAUAACAGAGAAGAUUAGCAUGGCUCUUGUAUGAAGAUGACUAUUAACUAAUGAAUUAAACUAUAGAAAUUU
ensembl:snRNA U6 U6 spliceosomal RNA